CUCCUGGAUUUAUCUCAGUGUCAAGGAAAAUGAACACUUUAAAAUGCCAGUUUAUCAAUUAACUAGUGAAUUCCUUGUUCCUGUGGUUUCUAUUUGAUUUCAUUUUGUUUUUCUGAUUGGAAUUGUGUAUUUGCUCCAUUUUUCUGUCUCUGGAAACUCUGGUCAAAUAAGCUGGAUGACAUAUGUGCACAGUUAAGUCACAGAAUGUAAAAAUCAUCUCGAUGUGGAAAAGUUAUGUAGCAUAGAUGAUGUCAAAUACAGGUUGGUGUAUUGUGUGUGUGUGUGUGUGUGUGUGUGUGUGUGUGUGUGUGUGUGGUGUCCAAGUGGGAUGGGAAGAGAUGGCAAUUCUAUCCCAGAUAAACCAUUUCAAAACCCCAAGCAGAGAUUUACUUCCCCUCUCUGCCUCAGUUUCCUCAGCUGUAAAACGAGAAGAGUAAACUAGGUGGUCCCCAUUCUGGCUGUCACUCUUAUCAUUGCCUUCACAGUGUUGCCUUUAUAACCAGCAAACAUCUAAGCAGGCUGAAUACCAGCUCAUAUUUUGCUCUUGCUCAAGAAGCUUGAAUGGUUGGGUGGUACCCACUCUCCAUUUGCCUGGCAGAACUAUCCCUCAUCUUUCAGGUCUCAGCUCAGAAGCUCCCACCUCUGUUAAACCCUUCCUUGCCAAAUUAGGCCUUCCUUACCCUGGGCUAUGAAGACUCUUUGUACAAACUGUUGCAGCGAUGACCUUAUUGGAAUUUUUACUGUAUGUUUGUCUCGUCUAGACUGUGAGCUCCUUGAGAGUGAGGACCUUAUCUUUUCAUCUUUGUGCCUAGCCCAGUGCUAGGAACAUAGCAGGUGCUCAAUAAAUAUUUGUUGUGUGAAGGA